ACUUUAAUUGAAGAGUUUGAUCAUGGCUCAGAUUGAACGCUGGCGGCAGGCCUAACACAUGCAAGUCGAGCGGCAGCGACAUCAACAAUCCUUCGGGUGCGUUGAUGGGCGGCGAGCGGCGGACGGGUGAGUAAUGCCUGGGAACAUGCCUUAGUGUGGGGG
rnacentral:rRNA from 1 species